UAGUAAUGGCAGGUCAGCAUACUGCCGUGAAUACGUUCCCGGGCCUUGUACACACCGCCCGUCAAGCCAUGGAAGCCGGGAGUGCCUGAAGUGCGUGAGCGCAAGCAGCGCCCUAAGGUAAAACCGGUGACUGGGGCUAAGUCGUAACAAGGUAGC
rnacentral:rRNA from 1 species